CGGGCCGACCUGCUCCAUGAGGCGUCUACGUGUUCAUGUCUAUGGCAGCGAGGUCAGAUGGGAGGGGCUUUUGCUACGGAAGCCAAUAAGUUACUGCGGUGAGGUAAAAGUUCCUUCUUUUCACAGCAACAUGGAAAGAGAGCGGAGCUGUUCCUAAAAAGAGUUGUUGGUUUCUAAAAAUUACUAUAAUUUGCCAUUUUAUAGUUUUCCUUUCUGCCGUGGGUUACCGCAGUGUACCGACUGAAAACCGACUGAGAGAUGAGGAUGUAAAAGGCUGUGAACGUGGUCUAAACUGGAUGAAUUCAAUCCAAGGAUGAUGGUAUAAUCCCAGGAUUAAAUCUGCUGUGGAUCAGCUGGUGAAAAUGGGAGUGAAAACUGAUGUCUGGAUGAAGAUGGGUUAGAGAGAGCUUGAAAGCCAACGCAGAAGACCACCGCUCAUUCUGGGACUCCCUUUUAUGGUAAACUCUGAAGUUGCAUGCAAUCAGCAAAGCUAAUUCUUGAGUGUGGGGAUGAGUGAGGCUGUGAUCAGAAGUUCUAUUAACAUAUCCACGUUAUAGCUGUAUUUAUAAACUUUUCUAAAUGGCUGUAGAGAUUUUUUUCAGAACUCUCCAAUAGGAAAUUAUAAUUCAUGGCUGGUCUGAAAAAGA